UGGAGAGUUUGAUCCUGGCUCAGAUUGAACGCUGGCGGCAGGCCUAACACAUGCAAGUCGAACGGUAGCACAGAGAGCUUGCUCUCGGGUGACGAGUGGCGGACGGGUGAGUAAUGUCUGGGAAACUGCCUGAUGGAGGGGGAUAACUACUGGAAACGGUAGCUAAUACCGCAUAACGUCGCAAGACCAAAGAGGGGGACCUUCGGGCCUCUUGCCAUCAGAUGUGCCCAGAUGGGAUUAGCUAGUAGGUGGGGUAAYGGCUCACCUAGGCGACGAUCCCUAGCUGGUCUGAGAGGAUGACCAGCCACACUGGAACUGAGACACGGUCCAGACUCCUACGGGAGGCAGCAGUGGGGAAUAUUGCACAAUGGGCGCAAGCCUGAUGCAGCCAUGCCGCGUGUAUGAAGAAGGCCUUCGGGUUGUAAAGUACUUUCAGCGGGGAGGAAGGUGUUGUGGUUAAUAACCGCAGCAAUUGACGUUACCCGCAGAAGAAGCACCGGCUAACUCCGUGCCAGCAGCCGCGGU
rnacentral:rRNA from 1 species